UUCUUGCUAGCGGAGUUUGUUUUUGUUCGUUUUUGCACUGAUCGGGUAUCAUUCGGCUGAAUUUUUACGACACUGGUUUUGUUACCAAAAUGGGUUUUUCGUGUGCUCUCAAGAGUUGUGAUUCAACGUACAGACGAAAGUCCCGUCUGGGUGUGUCGUUCCACAGAUUCCCUACAGAUACUGUGAUGGCCGCGCAAUGGAUGGCAAGUUUAAAGCAGAAUUAUCAAGAAUUGAAACAAAAUAGAGAAACAGCUAUUUGUUCCCGACACUUUUCGAACUGCUGCUUCAAGACUGUCGGAGGGAGACGAUUCCUUACAGCUGCGGCGGUACCCACAACUUUUAAUGAACCGGAACAAAAAUGCACCAUGGACUUAUCUGAUAACAACCAGCAAAUCAGUGAUGAACCAAUGAACAAGCGGGCCCGAUACAGGAAGUACUUGAUAACGAUUUAUAGGAAUGUAACAAAGACUGCAUGAGGUGGAAUAUACAAUAUGACUGGUAUUUUACUUUAAAUAACAGCAUUAAUUUCAGUGACAUUAUGAACAAUUCAGUGAGCGAGUUCAAUAUGUAACCGACAUUUCAAUGUGUGAGUUUCAAAUGCUUUUAAUUCUACAAGUGAUGUUUCCCUUCCUUUUUCAAUUUCACUUGAGUUUACAUCGUACCGUUAUAAUAUCAUCUUUAAAGCCCUAGACCAGCUUGUAUUACGGAUCCUCCUAUCGUCGAAAACGUUCAACAAAGUUAUACAUAUACUACUGAGAUGCAGCCGAUACUAAUCGAAAAUGCAUUUUUGGAUUAUUAUAUUGAUUGUCAAAGUGAAACAAUUGAAAAUUCAAUAACGGAGUAUGGAACUGCAAUUCACCAUGUGCAGCCUCCACACUUUGACGCAAAUUUGAUUCAUAACUCAUAUAAAUAUGGUCAAAAAGAUUGUUGGACUAGAGGGUACACGCAGAAGAAUUUCUGUAUGUUAAGAUUACAAUCCUGUCAAUUACUUUUACCUACGCACAAAUAGUUGUUUCGA